UUUUCAAAGUGUGAGUUUUGGUUAGAACAAGUACAAUUCCUCGGACAUUUAGUUAACCAUGAAGGAAUUCAUGUAGAUCCAACAAAGAUCGAGGCAAUUACCAAAUGGAAAACCCCAGAGUCACCAACUGAAGUUAGAAGUUUCUUAGGAUUGGCCGGUUAUUAUAGAAGAUUUAUUCGAGAUUUUUCUAGAAUAGCCAUUCCUUUAACUAAGUUAACCUGUAAAUCUGUUAAGUUUGAAUGGGGACCAAAACAAGAAGAAGCCUUUAGAAUCCUUAAGCAAAGAUUAACCCAUACACCCAUACUAGCGUUACCAGAAGGAACUGAAGACUUUGUAGUCUUUUGUGAUGCUUCUAAGUUAGGUUAUGGAUGCGUAUUGAUGCAACGUCAAAAGUGUUAUAGCUUAUGCAUCUAGACAGCUUAAGAGUCAUGAAGGAAAUUAUUCGACCCAUGAUUUGGAAUUAG
rnacentral:lncRNA from 1 species